AGCGGGGUAGUUCAGCGGUUAGAACGCUCGUUUCAUAUGCGAGAAGUCGGUGGUUCAAACCCACCUCCCGCUACCA
rnacentral:tRNA from 2 species